rnacentral:lncRNA from 1 species
CUUAUGAAGAGGUUACAACUGAGUUAGAAGAAUAUAAGGAAGCCUUUGCAGCAGCAUUGAAAGCUAACAAUUCCAUGUCAAAAAAAUUAACGAAAUCGAAUAAGAAAAUAGCAAUGAUCAGCACCAAGCUCCUUAUGGAGAAAGAGCAGGUGAAAUAUUUUCUCAGCACUCUUCCUACAAGGCAAGGUCGAGAGUCACCUUGUGUUGAAAAUCUUACUAGUAUAGGACUCAACAGAAAAUAUAUUCCCCAAAUGCCCAUAAGAAUUCCUACUUCAAACCGUCAGACUUCAAAUAACUGCCAGAACUACUUGACUGAGAUGGAGCCGGACUGUGUAGAACAAAUAAUUAGAGAAACAAAGAGAA